rnacentral:rRNA from 1 species
GACAGAGGAUGCAAGCGUUAUCCGGAAUGAUUGGGCGUAAAGCGUCUGUAGGUGGCUUUUUAAGUCCGCCGUCAAAUCCCAGGGCUCAACCCUGGACAGGCGGUGGAAACUACCAAGCUGGAGUGCGGCAGAGGGGGAUGGAAUUCCGCGUGUAGCAGUGAAAUGCGCAGAUAUCGGGAGGAACGACCGGUGGCGCAAGGCGGUUCAGCUGGGUCCUUACCUGG